rnacentral:sRNA from 1 species
UUCUUUUACGACGGAGCCUAAGAUAUUCUUUGUCUUGUCGGUGAGUGAGUUACAGUCGGAUGACCAAGUGAAAUAUAGGGGUGCAACGAGGAUUUGGAGGCUUCUGAGACUUGAACUUAGGGUACUGGUGUAAACUUCCUCGGAGAAGUGCGCAGCAGCUAAUGAUAUUUCGGGAUUGGAGUCUGGGCCCCAGUGAGAUUCGUACUAAGCGGCCUGACUGAAGGCCGCAUGCGUUCUAGUUCCUGAGUCCCCGCGUGGGUAGGUUUUUACAGCAGGGUUUGCAGCCUUUUGUGCUGUUCCGAAGGUACUAGAGUCACCGAAAGAGACAUCCUAUUAUAUGCACGUUCACAAGGACAAUGGCGCCAUUGUUCUUCGCGUCUUCAAAGCAGCUACAAGAAGAAACCAAGAUGGAGGGGAGCCCAAAGCAUCUGAGAGAAUUGAUAAAUGAAAGAAACAUGCUUAAAACAUGACCGUUUUAAAGGUGAAUGCUGACCAGUGAGAUGCCAGCCUGCGUGUGAAGAUCCUACAGCAGAAGUGCAUGGCCAGUGACACAAGAACUUGCGAGAGAUGCCAGUCCGCCUGUGAAGAUCCUGCAGCAGGAGUGCAUAGCCAGUGACACAAGACGUGCGAAUGAAAACUAGAUGUGACCAUCCAGAAAAAGCAUAGACAAAAAAAUGCAGUCUUAGUACUGGGAUGUUUGAGAUGGGGUCUAUCUACAUGUCUCUAGCUGUCCCUAUCAGGACAGCAUCUGGUGUGGCCUGCAGAGUUGAUUCCUGUACUUUUUUUUUUUUGUGGGCUGUAUGUAAAUGGAUUGUUUUGACAAUCCAUUCGACAGUGUUCUCUUCUGUGAAGGUCAUAGGUGAGCUGAUUGACAGACACAGCUGUACAGACUGAAUGCAAUCCUGACUAUAAAGCUGCAGUUCAUCAUUAUGAGCUAUUUCCUUAUUCUGGCAGUGAUUGAAAUAAAAUGGGGAGUAUUGAAAUAAAAAACAUUCAAUUGCAAA